GACGAACGCUGGCGGCGUGCCUAAUACAUGCAAGUCGAGCGCAGGAAACUGACGGAACUCUUCGGAGGGAAGGCAGUGGAAUGAGCGGCGGACGGGUGAGUAACACGUAAGGAACCUGCCUCAAGGAUUGGGAUAACUCCGAGAAAUCGGAGCUAAUACCGGAUAGUUCAACGGACCGCAUGGUCCGCUGAUGAAAGGCGCUUCGGCGUCACCUUGAGAUGGCCUUGCGGUGCAUUAGCUAGUUGGUGGGGUAACGGUCCACCAAGGCGACGAUGCAUAGCCGACCUGAGAGGGUGAUCGGCCACACUGGGACUGAGACACGGCCCAGACUCCUACGGGAGGCAGCAGUAGGGAAUCUUCCACAAUGGACGAAAGUCUGAUGGAGCAACGCCGCGUGAGUGAUGAAGGUUUUCGGAUCGUAAAACUCUGUUGUAAGGGAAGAACACGUACGAGAGGAAAUGCUCGUACCUUGACGGUACCUUACGAGAAAGCCACGGCUAACUACGUGCCAGCCGCCGCGGUAA
rnacentral:rRNA from 1 species